GAUGAACGCUGGCGGCGUGCCUAAUACAUGCAAGUCGAGCGAACAGACGAGGAGCUUGCUCCUCUGACGUUACCGGCGGACGGGUGAGUAACACGUGGAUAACCUACCUAUAAGACUGGGAUAACUUCGGGAAACCGGAGCUAAUACCGGAUAACAUGUUGAACCGCAUGGUUCAACAGUGAAAGACGGUCUUGCUGUCACUUAUAGAUGGAUCCGCGCCGCAUUAGCUAGUUGGUAAGGUAACGGCUUACCAAGGCAACGAUGCGUAGCCGACCUGAGAGGGUGAUCGGCCACACUGGAACUGAGACACGGUCCAGACUCCUACGGGAGGCAGCAGUAGGGAAUCUUCCGCAAUGGGCGAAAGCCUGACGGAGCAACGCCGCGUGAGUGAAAAAGGUCUUCGGAUCGUAAAACUCUGUUAUUAGGGAAGAACAAAUGUGUAAGUAACUAUGCACGUCUUGACGGUACCUAAUCAGAAAGCCACGGCUAACUACGUG
rnacentral:rRNA from 1 species